rnacentral:rRNA from 1 species
UACGGGAGGCAGCAGUGGGGAAUAUUGCACAAUGGGCGAAAGCCUGAUGCAGCUAUGCCGCGUGUAUGAAGAAGGCCUUAGGGUUGUAAAGUACUUUCAUCGGGGAGGAAAAAACAAAACUAAUAAUUUUAUUUCUUGACGUUACCCGAAAAAGAAGCACCGGCUAACUCCGUGCCAGCAGCCGCGGUAAUACGGAGGGUGCUAGCGUUAAUCAGAAUUACUGGGCGUAAAGAGCACGUAGGUGGUUUUUUUAAGUCAGAUGUGAAAUCCCUGGGCUUAACCUAGGAACUGCAUUUUGAAACUGAAAUACUAGAGUAUCGUAGAGGGAGGUAGAAUUCUAGGUGUAGCGGUUGAAAUGCGUAGAUAUCUGGAGGAAUACCUGUGGCGAAAGCGGCCUCCUAAACGAAUACUGACACUGAGGUGCGAAAGCGUGGGGAGCAAACGAGGGAUUAGAUACCCGU